UACGGAGGAUGCGAGCGUUAUCCGGAUUUAUUGGGUUUAAAGGGUGCGCAGGCGGCACGGCAAGCCGGCGGUCAAAUCGCGGGGCUCAACCCCGCCCAGCCGUCGGAACUGCCGGGCUAGAGUGGGCGAGAAGUGCGCGGAAUGCGCGGUGUAGCGGUGAAAUGCAUAGAUAUCACGCAGAACUCCGAUUGCGAAGGCAGCGCACCGGCGCCCUACUGACGCUCAGGCACGAAAGCGUGGGUAUCGAACAGG
rnacentral:rRNA from 1 species